CGCAGCCGCGGUAAUUCCAGCUCCAAUAGCGUAUAUUAAAGUUGUUGCAGUUAAAAAGCUCGUAGUUGAACUUCGGGAUCAAUUAGUUGGUCAUGCCUUGGUAUGUACUGAUUUUAUUGGUUCUCACCUUCUAAAGAACUAUAAUGUCAUUUAUUUGAUGUUAUAGGGAAUUAGGACUGUUACCUUGAAAAAAUUAGAGUGUUUAAAGCAGGCUCACGCUUGAAUACAUUAGCAUGGAAUAAUGAAAUAGGACAUCGCAUUCUAUUUUGUUGGUUUCUAGGAUCGAUGUAAUGAUUAAUAGGGAUAGUUGGGGGCAUUAGUAUUCAAUUGUCAGAGGUGAAAUUCUUGGAUUUAUUGAAGACUAACUACUGCGAAAGCAUUUGCCAAGGAUGUUUUCAUUAAUCAAGAACGAAAGUUAGGGGAUCGAAGACGAUCAGAUACCGUCGUAGUCUUAACCAUAAACUAUGCCGACUAGGGAUCGGAUGAUGUUGAUUUUUAAUGA
rnacentral:rRNA from 1 species